AAGAAAUUAGUUAAAUUAACAUUAGUAUGUCACGCUAAAAUUAUUGGUACAGCCCAAUAUUUCUUA
rnacentral:tRNA from 1 species